GAAUGUGAGGACAAUCUGACUGUGACAUCUGUCACAACAUUGAUCACCAGGGUUGAGUCGGCUAAUCUGGCUGGCUAGGCAGAUUUCCCCUUCCUUUCUCACUGCUCCAUGGGUGUCCUUCCUGAAGCUGUAUGCUCAGUUGAAGAGGAAGACGUUCCUUGGUAGAGGAGGACCAUUUUUUGGUGAAGGGUAUACGAGUAGCUGAGCUCCCUGCUAGAAAGUCUAAGCAAGCUCUAAUUUCCUGAUAUCUGUCAAUGGUGUAUGAAUCCUCUGAGUGAUACUCACUUCCUUUUAGGUGAACACACAUAUGGUCUCCCUUGAAA
ensembl:misc_RNA 7SK 7SK RNA